UCAGUUCGGAUUGAAGGCUGAAAUUCGCCUACAUGAAGCUGGAAUUGCCAGUAAUGGCAGGUCAGCAUACUGCCGUGAAUACGUUCCCGGGCCUUGUACACACCGCCCGUCACACCAUGAGAGUUGGGGAUACCCGAAGCCUGUGAGCCAACUGUAAAGAGGCAGCAGUCGAAGGUAGAAUCAAUGAUUGGGGUGAAGUCGUAACAAGGUACC
rnacentral:rRNA from 1 species